GCUCAAAGUGAAAAUCGCGUGUCCGCUAAUGGGCCUCGCGAGUUGUAGCCUCUAGAGGCGUUACCAGUGGAAGGGCAGGUCUAAGUUUCUUGGAACAGAACUUCAGAGAGGGUGACAGUCCCGUCCUUUGUCCUGCUUUGUUGGUUCCACGUACGGUGCGCUGUUAUUGAGUCGCGUUCAUUGGGAUUUGAGCGCAAAAUGUGUGAUAAGUUUCACAUAAAGCUAAAUAUUGGCGCGAGACCGAUAGCGAACAAGUACUGUGAAGGAAAGAUGAAAAGGACUUUGGAAAGAGAGUUAAAAGUGUCUGAAAUUGCUGAAAGGGAAGCGAUUGAAACUUUUGUGUCUCGGGGGUGCCGCUGGGUUUCGGCAGUAUUUCCAUCUUUGAUUCCGUCUUCUAGGAUUGGGGAAGGUGUGUAUUGCUCGUGAGCCCUGUUGAUCCCCCGGGUUCGGUCAGCAUCAGCACACUCGUGACUGGAAAUGCACCCCAAGGAAGGUAGGUCCUUUGUGGGCUGUUAUAGACUUGGGUUACGUUAGUUGCGACCAGUUGUGUGCUGAGGUGUGUUCCAUUGGAGCGUUCGCCGGCUGCACUUUCGAGUACUGCCGUUCGACGAUGCUGUCCCUAACGGUUUCAACCGACCCGUCUUGAAACACGGACCAAGGAGUCUAACAUAUGUGCGAGUAUGCGGGAUGAACCCCUGUAUGCGCAAUGAAAGUGAGAGUAGGGAUGGGUGUGUAUUGUCGGAUACGUGCCUUGCACCUACGACCGACCACGAUCUUUGAGAGAGGUUUGAGUUGUAGCACAUCUGUUAGGACCCGAAAGAUGGUGAACUAUGCCUGAGUAGGGUGAAGUCAGGCGAAAGCCUGAUGGAAGCUCGUAGCGAUACUGACGUGCAAAUCGUUCGUCAAACUUGGGUAUAGGGGCGAAAGACUAAUCGAACCGUCUAGUAGCUGGUUUCUUCCGAAGUUUCUCUCAGGAUAGCUGGAGUUCAAUUAGUUUUAUCAGGUAAAGCGAAUGAUUAGAGGCCUCGGGGGCGCGUCGCUCUCGACCUAUUCUCAAACUUUAAAUGGGUAAGAUCCAGUGGUUACUUCACUGAACUGCUGGGGUUAAUAUGAACUCCAAGUGGGCCAUUUUUGGUAAGCAGAACUGGCGAUGAGGGAUGCUCCUAACGCUUGGUUAAGGUGCCUAAAUACUCGCUCAUGAGACACCAUAAAAGGUGUUGGUUCAUUUUGACAGCAGGACGGUGGUCAUGGAAGUCGAAAUCCGCUAAGAAGUGUGUAACAACUUACCUGCCGAAUGAACCAGCCCUGAAAAUGGAUGGCGCUGCAGCGGGUUACCGAUACCAGGCCAUUAUCGCAAGUGUCGGACACAGUACCUUUUGCGCG
rnacentral:rRNA from 1 species